AUUGAACGCUGGCGGCAGGCUUAACACAUGCAAGUCGAGCGAGCGGCGGACGGGUGAGUAAUGUCUGGGAAACUGCCUGCUGGCGGGGGAUAACUACUGGAAACGGUAGCUAAUACCGCAUACCAUCAGAUGUGCCCAGAUGGGAUUGGCUAGUAGGUUGGGUAAUGGCUCACCUGGGCGACGAUCCAUAGCUGGUCUGAGAGGAUGACCAGACACACGGGAAGUGAGACACGGUCCAGACUCCUACGGGAGGCAGCAGUGGGGAAUAUUGCACAAUGGGCGCAAGGCUGAUGCAGCAAAGCCGCGUGUGUGAAGAAGGCCUGCGGGUUGGAAAGCACUUUCAGCGAGGAGGCGUUACUCGCAGAAGAAGCACCGGCUAACUCCGUGCCAGCAGCCGCGGUAAUUC
rnacentral:rRNA from 1 species